GAUGAACGCUAGCGGCAGGCUUAACACAUGCAAGUCGAGGGGCAUCACGGGUAGCAAUACCUGGUGGCGACCGGCGCAAGGGUGCGUAACGCGUGAGCAACAUGCCCUAUACAGGGGGAUAAUCCAGGGAAACUUGGUCUAAUAUCCCAUAGCAUUUAGAGGUGGCAUCACCAUUAAAUUAAAGCUUCGGUGGUAUAGGAUUGGCUCGCGUGACAUUAGCUAGAUGGUGGGGUAACGGCUCACCAUGGCUAUGAUGUCUAGGGGUUCUGAGACGGAAGACCCCCCAACUGGGACUGAGACACGGCCCAGACUCCUACGGGAGCAGCAGUGAGGAAUAUUGGACAAUGGAUGGAAAUCUGAUCCAGCCAUGCCGCGUGCAGGAAGACGGCCCUAUGGGUUGUAAACUGCUUUUUAAUGGGGAGCAAUAAGGUCUACGAGUUAGACCGAUGACGAGUACCAUAUGAAUAAGCCAUCGGCUAA
rnacentral:rRNA from 1 species